AGUACUCAGACCCAUGGUGUUCAAAGUACAGCUGCAUCCGUGCCCCCUAAAAGCUAUAAGAAAUGCACAUCCUUGGACCCCACACAAGACCUACUGACUGGGAAGGAUCCUUGUCCUUUGUCCUUUGUAGCGUGGUGGUAAAGCAUUUGCCUACAGUCAAAACCAGCGAGCCAGAACUGAGUGUCAAGUUCACUGUGUUCAACCGUGCACCCUCCUCAAUCCAGACAACAAAACAGCAACAGGUAAAUGUGUUCUUUUACCUUGAGUAAAACUAGAGAAACUAAUAAACGGAAUGUAAAUUU